UUUAGAGCCAAACACUUAUUAGCCAAAAUUUUGUUUUUCCACCACUGAAACUCUCGACAUCUCCCUUCUUUUUUUUUUAUCAAACAUCAUCUCCCUUGUUCUUGGCACCAUCACACCGUGAAUCUGAACUCUAAUCGAUCCCAGCUCCAGUGGGUGAAACGCCAAUUUCAUACCCACCAAUUCUGGUUUCUUCAAUCUCACAUCUCUCCUCUACCAAAUUUCAUCACGAGAAAUUAGACAAUUUCGAUGCGACGAACUUGAUGAAAGAAUCGAACGAGUAACCUCUCUGUCUUUUGACGAGUCAUCCUCUUAUUUUUGAUGUCACACUCGCCGUCCCACCACCGCCACCACCACACCACGGCAUUAAAGCUUGAAAGCUUGAAGAUGGUGUGAUAUCAAGCUGGUUCUAGUGUGAAAGCUGCUGUCCGAAGGAUUCUGAAUCAGGGUGGUUCAUACGCGCCGAGAAUAACCUCCCUACCUUCUCAAAAUCGUUCCUUUCACUCAACCCUUUACAGACCAAAUCCUUAGAGUGCUACUCAUGUUCCUUUCAGUCAACUGUAACAUCCCGAGUUGUGAUAUGAAAAAAGGUUUAAGAGAAUUGAUUUGGCUACCCAUAUCACUAAAGUUGACUUACCUUUUCCGUCACACCUCCGUUUAGAACUCCAGAGUUAAGCGUGCUUGGGCUGGAGUAGUGGAAGGAUGGGUGACCUAUCAAGAAUUGAUUCGCGAUACCGUGCGAGUGAGGCCAAAACACGGAGAAAGGUCGGUGGUGAUUGCAGUGUCAGUAGACAAGACUCUAGAGCCUUGGAAAAAUUAGCGACCACCAUCAGAUGGGAUGGAGCCCACGGGCCGAGAGAGCGGCCGUGGGUGGCCCAUUAGCCGUGGGCGGUCGGGGAAUUACAAGUGGUAUCAGAGCUGGUUAGCCGUCUCAGUUCUGACCUGAGCUGGUUAGCCGUCUCAGUUCUGACCUGAGCUGGUUAGCCGUCUCAGUUCUGACCUGAGCUGGUUAGCCGUCUCAGUUCUGACCUGAGAGGCAUCUUGAGACCUGUCGUGGGCCGCAACGAAAACAUUGCGUUCUUUGAGAGGAGGUGAAUUGUAUGUGAAAAGGCUUAAUAGAAUUGAUUUGGCUACCUAUAUCACCAAAGUUGACUUACCUCACACAUCCGUUUAGAACUCCAGAGUUAAGCGUGUUUGGGCUGGAGUAGUGGAAGGAUAGGUGACCUAUCAGAAAGUGAUUCGCGAUACCGUGCGAGUGAGACCAAAACACGGAGAAAGGUCGGGUGGUGAUUGCAGGGUCAAUAGACAAGACUCUAGAGCCUUGGAAAAAUUAACGACCGACCGUCAGAUGGCAUGGGGCCUACGGGCUGAGAGAGCGGCCGUGGGUGACCCAUUAGCCAUGGACGGUCGGGCGUUUUUUAUGUGACAACCUGUCCUGCGGAUCCCAGAUUUCACAGCGCUACAGCGCACCGACCCUAUCCACCGGUAGGUUAUUGAUGCGCUUGCGUUACUCGAACCCAAGAACUCACCCUUUAACAACUCUCCACAAGACAAGCUAUCACCAAUUGAUCUGCAGGUCUAAUCUUUUUAUUUUGGUCUAAAAAUUCCAAAACUUAAAUCCUAAAUAUUCAAUACCCUAAACCCUAACUUCAAACAUAAACCAUGCAUAUUCAACUCAAAACUCUAAAUCUUUUUCAAUUAUACUUUUAACUUAAAAUUUUAUUUAAUGUAAUAAUACUUUUUUUUUUACUUGUGUGUUUAUUAGAGUAUAAAUUCCAAACCCUAUUCCCUAAACUCUAAAUACUCUACUUCAAACCCCAAGUACUAGACCAUAAAUUAUAAGACUAAACUUCAAUUAAUUAUAAAUUCUGAAACAUAAAUUUUAAAAAAAUGUAUAAACUUAAAAUCUUAAACUAUAAACACAAAACUUCAAUCUAAACUCUAAACUUUAAAUGUAAACUCUAAAUCUUCUUCUCUUUUAGGUUUAACUUAAAUUUUAAAAGUACAUUAAAUUUAUAAACUACAACAAAAUUAUAACCUAGAUUUAUAUAAAAUUAUAUUUUUUAAAAGAGUAUUUAAAAGAAAAAAUAAAGAGGAAACAUAGUGUGUUUAAAAAUAAAAUAAAGAGGAAACAACUUUGACCAAUAGGAAAAAAGGUGAAGAUAACUAAAAUAAUGUUGUAGUCUCUACCUCCGUCGACACUGCCACAAAAAUAAAGAGGACACAUAGUGUGUUUACAUACCUGUAAGCUUAUGUCAACGCAUCCAAUCUGCCCUCACGAGAUUCUGGUGGGAUGCAUCUCCAGAUGAAAAGAAAAUGUGUUGGGUGUCUUGGGACAAACUGACAGCACCUAAAGCCUUGAGUGGACUCGGAAUCAGGGAUACCCAAGCUUUCAACAAGGCCUUAUUCGCGAAACAGGCAUGUAGGAUAGUGACUAAACCAGAGUGCCUACUAAGGGUACUACGAGGAAAAUCAGUAAGGCGGCAUUUCUAAAUGAGGAAGCUCCUAAGGCUGCCUCGCACGGUUGGAGAGGGAUUUUAGUGGGUAGAGAUUUGCUGCUGAGUAAUCUGAGUAAAGUUAUAGGUGAUGGAAAAGGCACACGACUAUGGAAGGACCCAUGGCUUAGCUCCGUAAAACCGAUGAGACCUAUGGGUCCGAUGCAAGAGAAACAUCAGGAUCUGGUGGUGGCGGACUUACUAUGCAGAGAGAACCGAGAAUGGAAUAUAACGAAAAUAAACAGCAUCUUACCGGAGUCUCUGCCAGCUAUCCUAUGUAUCAAACCAAGUAUCACAGGCGCGACUGACUCUUAUGCCUGGCUAGAGUCAAAAACCGGUGUAUACACAGCCAAGUCCGGUUACUUUGUGGCAGUGUCGACGGAGGUAGAGACUACAACAUCCGACUUAAAUCUCUACAAGGCAAUAUGGAAAUGCAAAGUAUCUCCAAAGACCCAAAUCUUCUUGUGGAAAUUUUCAAAAGGAGCUCUUGCUUUAGGGAAAAAUCUGGUGAAAAGGGACCUUACUUCCAACGUUAGUUGCAAACAUUGCGGUGAACUGGAAACCGCGGAUCAUGUUUUUAUACACUGCAGUUUUACCAGAUGGGUCUGAGACUCUAACAUGUGGACCACAGACUUUAAUCCAUCCGCUUGUGCCUCCUUCAGUGAAGCCUUCUUAUCGACAACCAAACUGAUAAACUUACCACCUUUCGGUGUGACAGAGAACCUCUUCCCUUGGAUAAUCUAGGGAAUCUGGAUAUCAAGUAAUCUUCUUGUCUUCGAAAACAAAGUAACUACGCCUGCAGAACUCAUCUCAAGGUUAAUCAGAAAUGCUCAAGAAUGGACCAUGGCGCAAGCAACUACUUCACAGCAACAACCGACAUCACUUCGUAGUUUGACUACUCAUUUGCCACCAUUUACCUUUACUUGUUUUACUGAUGCAGUGUGGCAAGCUACAACCCAAAGAGCAGGAUGUGGAUGGAUUUUCUACACACAACAGGGAGAAAGACUAGACCAGGGAACUUCCAUGUUUGAGCAUACUUCGACACCAAAAAUGGCGGAAGGACUGGCCAUCAGAUCGGCUCUCUUACACGCCCUGGAAGCUGGCUACACAAGAAUCUGUAUCAAAUCAGAUUGUCAAGUACUUGUUGCUACUAUCAGCUCGAAGAACCACCCACAGAUCUCUACGGAAUCACCCGGGACAUCGAGCAUCUAUCCCUUUCUUUUGAAUUCAUUGUCUUUUCUUUUGUACCGAGAAACUUGAACUCCCUAGCUGAUUUUGUUGCAAAAUCAGUGUUGUAUUGAACUCCAACCAACUAUUUCUAGUUGGGCUAAGUUUCUUCUUAAUAGUAUGAUUGUGUUCCAAAAAAAGAAAACUAAAAUAUCAAUCUCCACCGUUGAUAGAUCUCAAUCUAACGGAUAUAAUAAUUUUUUUAUUAUCCCUUUCUUCUCCUUGUUUCUCUCACGAUGUUUCCAAUUUUCUUCGCAUAUCUCAAAGUAAAUUAUCAAUCUUCUCACAAUCCUCUCCAGUUUCUUACAUCUCUUCAUCUCUCAUAUUUGGCCGUCCUCUGCCUCUCUCUCUUUUUUCUUUUUUUUAGAUCUCUCCUAACCUCACUCAUACACAGGAUUCAUCUCACAGACAUCUCUCUAUCUCACUCUCCUAAUCUCUCUAUCUCACAUACGACACAUCUCCAACCAUCUUCUCUGUCUCUGGUCAAGCUCUGCGUUGGCUUCACCUCCACACCACCACCACAGGUCAACUCACUCCACCUUCCUCUUAUCUGCUCUCUUCUUCUCGUCAUCUUAUAUAUUUAUGAUUUACGUUUUUUUUAAAGAUUUAUUAAGGAGCAAGGGAAGGAGAAGCAGUGGUGCGACAUAGCGGCAUCUCCGGUCAAGCGUGAUGCGGCCGUGGUGCAAGCCGGUGGUGGUGGGGGUGGUCGUGCGGUGGAGAUGCGAGCAUCAUGGUCGGCGGAGACUGAAGAAGAAUGUAGUUUGGUGGCUGUAUUAGGUUUAGUUAGGAUUAAUUAGUUAACCACUUCAUAAUUGUAAACCAAUUUGUAUUGUAAACCAUUUUGAAAUUGUAAAUCAAUGUAAUUGUAAACCAACUAAACAAAAAUUCAAUUUAUAAAAAUACCAAUUUAUUA